UGACAAAUACAAGCCAGGGAUUUAGCUCAGUGGUUCCGCCAUCUGCCUCAAAAGCACAAGGUCCCGAGUUUGAUCCCCGAUACCAAAAAAAAACCCAAAUACAUAAAGUCAUAUAGUUAAGGUACAGAAUAGAUCCACUGCCCCUCAAAUUCUCUCUUGCUCCUGCUUUAGGACCUCUUGCCACUACUGAUGUGGCCUCAACCUUCAGUUUUGUCUUUCCCAGAAUGUCCUAUAAAUGAAUUAUACAACAGGCAGCCUUUGGAGAGGCUUCUUUCAUUUAGCAUAAUAGAUCUGAGAUCCCUAGGAGUAGGAUCAGCUGUUUCAUUCCCUGGAACAGCCAAGAAGAAAGACCUAACCCCUGGGCCUUCCUCUGCAGCCAUGUCUGAGCUCAGCGAUGAAGCCAGUGAGCCGGAGCUCCUGAACAGCAGUUUGUCCAUGUGGCACGGGCUGGGGACUCAGGUCAGCCGGGAGGAGCUGGACGUCCCCCUGGAUCUUCACACAGCGGCUUCCAUUGGCCAGUAUGAGGUGGUGAAGGAAUGUGUGCAGCGGAGAGAGUUAGAUUUGAAUAAGAAGAAUGGUGGUGGCUGGACCCCGCUGAUGUAUGCCUCCUACAUUGGACACGAUACCAUCGUGCACCUGCUGCUCGAGGCAGGGGUGAGUGUGAAUGUGCCGACCCCGGAAGGGCAGACUCCACUGAUGCUGGCCUCCAGCUGUGGCAACGAGAGCAUCGCCUACUUUCUCCUCCAGCAAGGUGCGGAGCUUGAGAUGAAAGACAUUCAAGGCUGGACUGCGCUCUUCCACUGCACCAGUGCCGGGCACCAGCAGAUGGUCAAAUUCCUCCUGGACAGUGGGGCGAAUGCCAAUGUGAGGGAGCCUGUAUAUGGAUUUACUCCUUUGAUGGAAGCUGCUGCUGCUGGCCAUGAGAUAAUUGUGCAGUAUUUUCUGAAUCAUGGAGUCAAAGUAGACACAAGAGACCACAGUGGAGCUACAGCCAGGAUGCUGGCCAAACAGUAUGGACACAUGAAGAUUGUGGCGAUGAUAGACACUCACUCACCUACUCUGCCCAGGAACCUCUACCGGAGCCCAGAAAAAUAUGAAGAUCUGAGCUCUUCAGACGAGUCCUACCCUGCUGCUCAGAGGCAGAGGCCUUGUCGGAAGAAGGGCCUCAGCAUCCAUGAGGGGCCGCGAGCCUUGGCCAGGAUCACAGCCAUCGGUCUUGGAGGCCAGACCCCACAGCCUCAUUAUGAACAGGUGCCUCCACGGGAUUAUGUGACCUUCACCAGCAGUGAUGAGAACCCCCUGGAAGGCGAGGGCCUCUGCUACCGGGAUGUUACCUCCCCCAUCAAUGAGCAAGAUGUGGAGAGCAGCAGCAGCAGCAGCCGGGAGGAGCCUGCUUUCUGUGCCAGCUUUGGGGCCGUAUGGAGCAGCAGCAGCGAGGGCCUGGCAAAGGCCCAGGGGCUCAGCAGCGAAGCCUCCUUGGAGAGCAAUGAGGACUCAGAUCAUGCCCGCAAAAGCUCCGUUCGCAAACAAACCAAAAGUUACAUGAAGACCAAGAGUCGUCACAGCAACAAUGAUACCCAGUGGCCUCCAAGCACCACAACUUCAGGGACAGCCUGUUCCCCAGGAUCUGUCCUCCACACGGAGCUGUCCCCCUAUUCUGGACCCCAGGACCUUGCCACACUGCUGGAGCAAAUUGGGUGUCUAAAGUACCUGCAGGUGUUUGAGGAGCAGGACGUGGACCUCCGCAUCUUCCUGACCCUCACGGAGAGUGACCUGAAGGAAAUUGGCAUCACAUUGUUUGGGCCCAAAAGGAAGAUGACCUCAGCCAUUGCACGGUGGCAUAGUGGUGCCCGUCCCCCCAGUGAUGCCCUGGAGCUGGCCUAUGCUGACCGGCUGGAGGCGGAGAUGCAGGAACUUGCCAUCCAGCUGCACAAACGCUGUGAGGAGGUGGAGGCCAUGCGUGGCCAGGUGUCUCAGGAGCAGGAGCUUCGGGCUGUGGUGGAGAGCUGCCUGCUGGAGCAGGAUGGAGCCCGCAAGGACGUGCACACCCAAUUGCAAGAGACCUGGGCCCUGGCCCAGGAUGCUGCCCUCAUCUUGGAGCAGCUCCGAGCCUGUCAAAUUGAGCUGUCCACCCGAAUGAGGCAGGACCAGUCUCCCAGCACAGCUGCCUUGAGCCCAGCACUACUCCCAGAAGACUCCAAAAGCUGGCAUGCAGCACUGCAGGCCAUGAGCCUCCUGGAGCUUUCUGUAGUCCUGGAAGACCAAGUCCGCGAGAUGGGUGAGUCUCUGGGAGGGCGGCAAGGCCCCAGGCUGGGGCAGCAGGGACACCGCUCUAGGAAAGCAGGUUUGAGUCCUUUUUGCUGCAAGGGUGGCCUGUGGCUGGAGUCAUGACCACUGUGGGGCAGGCCCCAGCCUAAGCCUGACAAGAGGUUUAAGGUCAUCCAUUCCUAGUGCCUCAUACCCCCCUCUUUUCUUGCCUAGGAAAGCAGGUUUGAGUCCUUUUUGCUGCAAGGGUGGCCUGUGGCUGGAGUCAUGACCACUGUGGGGCAGGCCCCAGCCUAAGCCUGACAAGAGGUUUAAGGUCAUCCAUUCCUAGUGCCUCAUACCCCCCUCUUUUCUUGCUGCUGUCCAGCCUUGCCAUAGAACACUGUCCCUCUGUGUCCCCAGGUCAAGCACUGUGCUCAGUGACCCAGAGCCUGGAGAAGCUGCAGGUGCUAAAUGGGAAGAAGUGGCGGGAGCCCUAGCCAGGAGGAACGAAUCUGACGUUGGGUGAUCGAUCCACCCUGAAUCUAUAUGCCAGGAAGACAAGAGGGCAGUGAGCAGGCAGCUGCCACAGCCCAAGCCUCAGAUGGGGCUAAGGAUCGGCCCCAGGGAGCAGCCUGCACAGAGGCAAGACGCGGCCUGUGGCCCCUGCCAGGGCAGUAACGCCAGCAGUGGAACAGAUGUGGGCCUGAUGGUUAAAACCCCAAGCUUAUGGAAUGUCUGACCCAGACCAGACAAGGCAUGGGGAGAGUAUGUGUGUCCCUAAAUACAGGUAGCACACUUAAGUUUGACCUUACAGGUGAGGACCACCACUUAAAAAAUGUGCCAUUUGUUUUAGAAAAUAAAAUUUAACAUCAGCAA